CUCUAGCUGAGGGAGGUGCGGGAAAAUAGGAAAAUAUCUAGUUUUGCUUGCUUUCUCGCGAAUAGCUACUGUUGUGAAAACCCGAUUUUCU